ACACAUGCAAGUCGAACGGUAACAGGGAGCAGCUUGCUGCUUCGCUGACGAGUGGCGGACGGGUGAGUAAUGUCUGGGAAGCUGCCUGAUGGAGGAGGAUAACUACUGGAAACGGUAGCUAAUACCGCAUAAUGUCGCAAGACCAAAGAGGGGGACCUUCGGGCCUCUUGCCAUCGGAUGUGCCCAGAUGGGAUUAGCUUGUUGGUGGGGUAACGGCUCACCAAGGCGACGAUCCCUAGCUGGUCUGAGAGGAUGACCAGCCACACUGGAACUGAGACACGGUCCAGACUCCUACGGGAGGCAGCAGUGGGGAAUAUUGCACAAUGGGCGCAAGCCUGAUGCAGCCAUGCCGCGUGUAUGAAGAAGGCCUUCGGGUUGUAAAGUACUUUCAGCGGGGAGGAAGGGAGUAAAGUUAAUACCUUUGCUCAUUGACGUUACCCGCAGAAGAAGCACCGGCUAACUCCGUGCCAGCAGCCGCGGUAAUACGGAGGGUGCAAGCGUUAAUCGGAAUUACUGGGCGUAAAGCGCACGCAGGCGGUUUGUUAAGUCAGAUGUGAAAUCCCCGGGCUCAACCUGGGAACUGCAUCUGAUACUGGCAAGCUUGAGUCUCGUAGAGGGGGGUAGAAUUCCAGGUGUAGCGGUGAAAUGCGUAGAGAUCUGGAGGAAUACCGGUGGCGAAGGCGGCCCCCUGGACGAAGACUGACGCUCAGGUGCGAAAGCGUGGGGAGCAAACAGGAUUAGAUACCCUGGUAGUCCACGCCGUAAACGAUGUCGACUUGGAGGUUGUGCCCUUGAGGCGUGGCUUCCGGAGCUAACGCGUUAAGUCGACCGCCUGGGGAGUACGGCCACAAGGUUAAAACUCAAAUGAAUUGACGGGGGCCCGCACAAGCGGUGGAGCAUGUGGUUUAAUUCGAUGCAACGCGAAGAACCUUACCUGGUCUUGACAUCCACGGAAGUUUUCAGAGAUGAGAAUGUGCCUUCGGGAACCGUGAGACAGGUGCUGCAUGGCUGUCGUCAGCUCGUGUUGUGAAAUGUUGGGUUAAGUCCCGCAACGAGCGCAACCCUUAUCCUUUGUUGCCAGCGGUCCGGCCGGGAACUCAAAGGAGACUGCCAGUGAUAAACUGGAGGAAGGUGGGGAUGACGUCAAGUCAUCAUGGCCCUUACGACCAGGGCUACACACGUGCUACAAUGGCGCAUACAAAGAGAAGCGACCUCGCGAGAGCAAGCGGACCUCAUAAAGUGCGUCGUAGUCCGGAUUGGAGUCUGCAACUCGACUCCAUGAAGUCGGAAUCGCUAGUAAUCGUGGAUCAGAAUGCCACGGUGAAUACGUUCCCGGGCCUUGUACACACCGCCCGUCACACCAUGGGAGUGGGUUGCAAAAGAAGUAGGUAGCUUAACCUUCGGGAGGGCGCUUACCACUUUGUGAUUCAUGACUGGGGUGAAGUCGUAACAAGGUAACCGUAGGGGAACCUGCGGUUG
rnacentral:rRNA from 1 species